rnacentral:rRNA from 1 species
AGAGUUUGAUCCUGGCCCAGGACGAACGCUGGCGGCACGCUUAACACAUGCAAGUCGAACGAGAGAAGAGGAGCUUGCUUUUCUGAUCUAGUGGCGGACGGGUGAGUAACACGUGAGCAAUCUGGCUUUCAGAGGGGGAUACCGAUUGGAAACGAUCGUUAAUACCGCAUAACAUAAUUGAACCGCAUGAUUUGAUUAUCAAAGAUUUAUCGCUGAAAGAUGAGCUCGCGUCUGAUUAGCUAGUUGGUAAGGUAACGGCUUACCAAGGCGACGAUCAGUAGCCGGACUGAGAGGUUGAUCGGCCACAUUGGGACUGAGACACGGCCCAGACUCCUACGGGAGGCAGCAGUGGGGAAUAUUGCACAAUGGAGGAAACUCUGAUGCAGCGAUGCCGCGUGAGGGAAGAAGGUUUUAGGAUUGUAAACCUCUGUCUUCAGGGACGAAAAAAGACGGUACCUGAGGAGGAAGCUCCGGCUAACUACGUGCCAGCAGCCGCGGUAAUACGUAGGGAGCGAGCGUUGUCCGGAAUUACUGGGUGUAAAGGGAGCGUAGGCGGGAUCGCAAGUCAGAUGUGAAAACUAUGGGCUUAACCCAUAAACUGCAUUUGAAACUGUGGUUCUUGAGUGAAGUAGAGGUAAGCGGAAUUCCUAGUGUAGCGGUGAAAUGCGUAGAUAUUAGGAGGAACAUCAGUGGCGAAGGCGGCUUACUGGGCUUUAACUGACGCUGAGGCUCGAAAGCGUGGGGAGCAAACAGGAUUAGAUACCCUGGUAGUCCACGCCGUAAACGAUGAUUACUAGGUGUGGGGGGACUGACCCCUUCCGUGCCGCAGCAAACGCAAUAAGUAAUCCACCUGGGGAGUACGACCGCAAGGUUGAAACUCAAAGGAAUUGACGGGGGCCCGCACAAGCAGUGGAGUAUGUGGAUUAACUCGAAGCAACGCGAAGAACCUUACCAGGUCUUGACAUCGUAUGCAUAGCUCAGAGAUGAGUGAAAUCUCUUCGGAGACAUAUAGACAGGUGGUGCAUGGUUGUCGUCAGCUCGUGUCGUGAGAUGUUGGGUUAAGUCCCGCAACGAGCGCAACCCUUACUGUUAGUUGCUACGCAAGAGCACUCUAGCAGGACUGCCGUUGACAAAACGGAGGAAGGUGGGGAUGACGUCAAAUCAUCAUGCCCCUUAUGACCUGGGCCUCACACGUACUACAAUGGCUGUCAACAGAGGGAAGCAAAGCCGCGAGGUGGAGCGAACCCCUAAAAGCAGUCUUAGUUCGGAUUGUAGGCUGCAACCCGCCUACAUGAAGUCGGAAUUGCUAGUAAUCGCAGAUCAGCAUGCUGCGGUGAAUACGUUCCCGGGCCUUGUACACACCGCCCGUCACGCCAUGGGAGUCGGUAACACCCGAAGCCUGUAGUCUAACCGCAAGGAGGACGCAGUCGAAGGUGGGAUUGAUGACUGGGGUGAAGUCGUAACAAGGUA